CGGUGUCACGAAUUUGAGCCUCUAGAAUACAGAAUAUCAUCCUAAUACAUGGUAUAUCCAAAGUCUGAUAAUGCGGAAAUAAAGAGAUAGGAUAGGAGGGAGAAGAUCAAUGGCUGCGAACGCCGUGCAGCUACCUCGAUACUCCCAGAGGCUGGAUCUGCUGAUCAACUGGAUCUACUAAGCCUGAGACUGCCCUGGAUCUACACACAAGGUGCAGGGAGUAAAGUGAGUACUCUGACCCAGUGAGUAAUAAAAGUAACUACAGUCCGAAGAUAAGAAAAUCCAGUAAAUACACAAAGUAAGCUAAAAUCCAAAUAUACAACAACAUAUGGAACUGAGCAGCUAAACACCAGUAUAAAUACAAAUACAUGAAUGCAAUGCAAUGCAUAUAAUGGUACAUUCCAGUACCCACUACGGCGUGCGGCCAGAGCCAUCCAUAUUUAUUUAUCGUCGACGGCGCUCACUGGGGGUGUGUACAGACUCCGGAGGGGAUCCUACAGCCCAAGCGCAAUAUCUUGGUCAGUCAUUGUUACCUGACCAAUUUAUAUCAUACAGUGCCAUUGUUACAACUGUUCAAGUAUAUCAUCCAGUGUCAUUGUUACCACUAUUUCAAGUAUAUCACACAGUGUCAUUGUUACCACUGUGUCAAGUAUAUCACACAGUGUCAUUGUUACCACUGUUUCAAGUCACUUUAUAAUCAGUCAAGAAAAUAAUAUAAUAAGCCCCUUGGGCAUUUACAAAACAGAAGUUCCCACCCCGGAAUACAUUUAAAAAUAUCAUUUAUGUUUUCAACACUUAGAAUUAUGGCUGAGUUUGCAAAACAACAUUUAACACCUUGGACUGAAAUUAAAUGAUAUGCAAAUCAUGCUAAGCAGUAAUAUCCAUCCUCGAAGGAUUUUACAAAUCGGCACAAGGCCCCAAACAUGGCAUCAAGCCCAGUAAUAUCAAUGAAGUAUGUGUAUCAAUCACUAGUAUAGUAUAAACAUCACACGGGGUGGACCAAGUCACAAUCCCCAGUCGUAUCCGACCCUGCACUCAUCAUGGAGUGCGUGUCACGCCUCAAUAUAGCAUUACAAUGUGAAAGUCCGGGGUUUCAAACCCUCAGAAUAGCAUUUACAUCUAUUACUCACCUCUGACCGGCCGUAGACUAGUCCGCAAUGCCCUUUCCUUUUGAAUCGACCUCUUCGCGUGUCGAAUCUAGUCAAAACCACAACGAAUACGUUACAAUAGUCUAAGGGAAUAUAACCCAAUAAAAAAUACUCGAAAAAUGUCGAAAAUCACGAAAUUAGCAAAACCCGAGCCCCGGGCCCACGUCUCGAAAUUCAGAAAUUUUUACAUCAACACGACCCUUAUAUCGCCACGAGUCUAUACAUACCAAAUUCACAAAAAUCAGAGUUCAUUUGACCCCUCAAAUCACCAUUUAAUUCUCUUAAGUUUCAAGCUCUAAACCACCAUUUUUGUCCAUAAAUUACUUGAGUUUUCAGCUCUAAUCCAUGUAUUUAACUUGGAAAUAAGUAGAAACAACUCACCUUUGAUGCUUGAUGAAAUCCCCCUUGAAAUUCUCUCCAAAAUAAUCC
rnacentral:lncRNA from 1 species